rnacentral:sRNA from 1 species
CGCUUUUUUGCUAUCUGCGAUACUCAAACCUGCAGCAGGUUUGAGUUGAGCGCAGCGAAACAACGGAGCGCUCGCGGCGACGGCCCGAAGGGCGAGCGAAGCGAGUCAUCCUGCACGACCCACCA